GACGAACGCUGGCGGCGUGCUUAACACAUGCAAGUCGAACGGAAAGGCCCUGCUUUUGUGGGGUGCUCGAGUGGCGAACGGGUGAGUAACACGUGAGUAACCUGCCCUUGACUUUGGGAUAACUUCAGGAAACUGGGGCUAAUACCGGAUAGGAGCUCCUGCUGCAUGGUGGGGGUUGGAAAGUUUCGGCGGUUGGGGAUGGACUCGCGGCUUAUCAGCUUGUUGGUGGGGUAGUGGCUUACCAAGGCUUUGACGGGUAGCCGGCCUGAGAGGGUGACCGGCCACAUUGGGACUGAGAUACGGCCCAGACUCCUACGGGAGGCAGCAGUGGGGAAUAUUGCACAAUGGGCGGAAGCCUGAUGCAGCAACGCCGCGUGCGGGAUGACGGCCUUCGGGUUGUAAACCGCUUUCGCCUGUGACGAAGCGUGAGUGACGGUAAUGGGUAAAGAAGCACCGGCUAACUACGUGCCAGCAGCCGCGGUGAUACGUAGGGUGCGAGCGUUGUCCGGAUUUAUUGGGCGUAAAGGGCUCGUAGGUGGUUGAUCGCGUCGGAAGUGUAAUCUUGGGGCUUAACCCUGAGCGUGCUUUCGAUACGGGUUGACUUGAGGAAGGUAGGGGAGAAUGGAAUUCCUGGUGGAGCGGUGGAAUGCGCAGACAUCAGGAGGAACACCAGUGGCGAAGGCGGUUCUCUGGGCCUUUCCUGACGCUGAGGAGCGAAAGCGUGGGGAGCGAACAGGCUUAGAUACCCUGGUAGUCCACGCUGUAAACGGUGGGUACUAGGUGUGGGGUCCAUUCCACGGGUUCCGUGCCGUAGCUAACGCUUUAAGUACCCCGCCUGGGGAGUACGGCCGCAAGGCUAAAACUCAAAGGAAUUGACGGGGCCCCGCACAAGCGGCGGAGCAUGCGGACUAAUUCGAUGCAACGCGUAGAACCUUACCUGGGUUUGACAUGGAUCGGGAGUGCUCAGAGAUGGGUGUGCCUCUUUUGGGGUCGGUUCACAGGUGGUGCAUGGCUGUCGUCAGCUCGUGUCGUGAGAUGUUGGGUUAAGUCCCGCAACGAGCGCAACCCUUGUUCACUGUUGCCAGCACGUUAUGGUGGGGACUCAGUGGAGACCGCCGGGGUCAACUCGGAGGAAGGUGGGGAUGACGUCAAGUCAUCAUGCCCCUUAUGUCCAGGGCUUCACGCAUGCUACAAUGGCUGGUACAGAGAGUGGCGAGCCUGUGAGGGUGAGCGAAUCUCGGAAAGCCGGUCUCAGUUCGGAUUGGGGUCUGCAACUCGACCUCAUGAAGUCGGAGUCGCUAGUAAUCGCAGAUCAGCAACGCUGCGGUGAAUACGUUCCCGGG
rnacentral:rRNA from 1 species